rnacentral:rRNA from 1 species
UGGGGAAUAUUGCACAAUGGGCGCAAGCCUGAUGCAGCCAUGCCGCGUGUGUGAAGAAGGCCUUCGGGUUGUAAAGCACUUUCAGCGGGGAGGAAGGCGUUAAGGUUAAUAACCUUGGCGAUUGACGUUACCCGCAGAAGAAGCACCGGCUAACUCCGUGCCAGCAGCCGCGGUAAUACGGAGGGUGCAAGCGUUAAUCGGAAUUACUGGGCGUAAAGCGCACGCAGGCGGUCUGUCAAGUCGGAUGUGAAAUCCCCGGGCUCAACCUGGGAACUGCAUUCGAAACUGGCAGGCUAGAGUCUUGUAGAGGGGGGUAGAAUUCCAGGUGUAGCGGUGAAAUGCGUAGAGAUCUGGAGGAAUACCGGUGGCGAAGGUGGCCCCCUGGACAAAGACUGACGCUCAGGUGCGAAAGCGUGGGGAGCAAACAGG